GCGUCGGCAGUGCAUCGGUUUGAGCACACGCCCCCGGAUAGGGUGUAAUGUGGGUUCGAAUCCCACCUGACGUA